rnacentral:rRNA from 1 species
UGGGGAAUUUUGGACAAUGGGCGAAAGCCUGAUCCAGCAAUGCCGCGUGUGCGAAGAAGGCCUUCGGGUUGUAAAGCACUUUUGUCAGGGAAGAAAUCGUUUGGGUUAAUACCCCGAGCAGUUGACGGUACCUGAAGAAUAAGCACCGGCUAACUACGUGCCAGCAGCCGCGGUAAUACGUAGGGUGCAAGCGUUAAUCGGAAUUACUGGGCGUAAAGCGUGCGCAGGUGGUUUGUUAAGACAGUUGUGAAAUCCCCGGGCUUAACCUGGGAACUGCAAUUGUGACUGGCAGACUAGAGUGAGGCAGAGGGGGGCGGAAUUCCUGGUGUAGCAGUGAAAUGCGUAGAUAUCAGGAGGAACACCGAUGGCGAAGGCAGCCCCCUGGGCCAUCACUGACACU